rnacentral:sRNA from 1 species
GAAGUGGUGACCGGAGGGAAGCCAAGUGCACUCAAACCCUCGGGUGAGUCAUCACCGCCGGGUCUUUCACAGCUGCUGAAAGUGAGCAACAGUGAUGAAGGUGUUGUGACUGCAGUGCCUCCCUGUCGCACCAGUACUAUGAGAAGGAUGGGCAGCUCUUCUGCAAGAAGGACUACUGGGCCCGCUAUGGCGAGUCCUGCCAUGGGUGCUCUGAGCAAAUCACCAAGGGACUGGUUAUGGUGGCUGGGGAGCUGAAGUACCACCCCGAGUGUUUCAUCUGCCUCACGUGUGGGACCUUUAUCGGUGACGGGGACACCUACACGCUGGUGGAGCACUCCAAGCUGUACUGCGGGCACUGCUACUACCAGACUGUGGUGACCCCCGUCAUCGAGCAGAUCCUGCCUGACUCCCCCGGCUCCCACCUGCCCCACACCGUCACCCUAGUGUCCAUCCCAGCCUCAUCUCAUGGCAAGCGUGGACUUUCAGUCUCCAUCGACCCCCCGCACGGCCCACCGGGCUGUGGCACCGAGCACUCACACACCGUCCGCGUCCAGGGAGUGGAUCCGGGCUGCAUGAGCCCAGAUGUG